rnacentral:rRNA from 1 species
UACGAAGGGGGCUAGCGUUGCUCGGAAUUACUGGGCGUAAAGCGCACGUAGGCGGCUUCUUAAGUCGGUGGUGAAAUCCUGGAGCUCAACUCCAGAACUGCCUUCGAUACUGGGAGCUCGAGUCCGGGAGAGGUGAGUGGAACUGCGAGUGUAGAGGUGAAAUUCGUAGAUAUUCGCAAGAACACCAGUGGCGAAGGCGGCUCACUGGCCCG